rnacentral:rRNA from 1 species
UACGUAGGGUGCGAGCGUUAAUCGGAAUUACUGGGCGUAAAGCGUGCGCAGGCGGUUUUGUAAGCCAGAUGUGAAAUCCCCGGGCUUAACCUGGGAAUGGCAUUUGGGACUGCAAGGCUUGAGUGCGGCAGAGGAGACUGGAAUUCCUGGUGUAGCAGUGAAAUGCGUAGAUAUCAGGAAGAACACCCGUGGCGAAGGCGGCUCUCUGGGACGGUACUGACGGCUGAGACGCGAAAGCGUGGGGAGUGAACAGG